UGGCUGGAAGGAGGGGCGCUCCCGCUGCUUGUCCUCUGCUCUCUUUCAGAGGCCGCUGCAGGGUCGUUAGGCCCUACUGAGCCUGCAUGAAGGGCGCCAAUGGCUGGAAGCCUCCUUCUUCCUUCGGAGCAGCGCGCCGGGGACUCCGUCUGCAGAAUCUCUCCAGGCAGGGGAGAACUCCCCGGCGGGGGCGACCUGUAAGGCGGGACCCCCAGGGCGGUCCAUGUCUCUCCCGUGCUGAGGACUCCAGAGGUGAACCCAACACUGCAGAUGGGGUCUCAGUAGAGAGGAGCAGAGGGGCAGAAUCCCCUUCCUCCACCUGCUGCCCACUCUGCUGAGGAGGCAGCUCAAGACACAGUUGGCUUCUAGGCUGUGAGUGCAUAUUGCCAACUCAUGCCCAACUUUUCACACACCAGCACCCCCAAGUCUUCUCCACGGCAGUGCUUCUCCGUUAGCUGUGCUGCAGUUUAUGUCUGAGUAAAUCUGAGGGGCAAGUGUGAAAGACUGAAAUCAUUCAUCCUGCUCUUCAGAGUUGAAGAACUACUGUACUGAACAUCACUGCUGUGGACUAAAGUCAUCUUGAGAAAAAUGAACAGAAAACAGGAAGAAACCAACCUCUUGAAAAAUAACCAAUAACUUGGAAAGAGCAUUCAUCACCCUACAGAUAAAUGCAGCAAGGUUAGAGAACGCUGGGGAUGUUUAAUGAUUCAGUGGGAGAACUUUUCAAAGGCAAGAAAGAGGAGCAAUUGGUCCCUGACAUUGAUAUUUAUUGUUAUUUGUUGCAUUUAAUAGUAUUAUGGAGCAUUUGUGUCUCAGAAUUUCCUCUGCGGUACCUAAAGGGCAUGAUGACAAGCACUACAGGAAAGCUUAAAAUAGGUAUUUUUAACUACCAAGGAUGUAGGGGGAGGAAGAAAAUAGAAGCUAAUUGCAGAAAAACAGCCACAUCAUCUUUUUUGAUCCUUGUUUCCCCCCCACCCUCCCUUAGAUGCUGAGUUAGAUCCCCAAAUGAGUAGUCUCCAGAGGGGACUGAAGGAUGACAUUUCUGUUGUGUGGCAGCUCUUUGGGCUGUGACAUUUGGUUGGACUCAAUGAUCUUAAAGGUUGUUUGG